AGUAAGGCGGGACACGUGAAAUCCUGUCUGAAGAUGGGGGGACCAUCCUCCAAGGCUAAAUACUCGUGAUCGACCGAUAGUGAACCAGUACCGUGAGGGAAAGGCGAAAAGAACCCCGGGAGGGGAGUGAAAUAGAUCCUGAAACCGCAUGCAUACAAACAGUCGGAGCCUCUUUAUGGGGUGACGGCGUACCUUUUGUAUAAUGGGUCAGCGACUUACGUUCAGUAGCAAGCUUAACCGUAUAGGGCAGGCGUAGCGAAAGCGAGUCCGAAUAGGGCGUUCAGUUGCUGGGCGUAGACCCGAAACCAGGUGAUCUAUCCAUGGCCAGGAUGAAGGUGCGGUAACACGUACUGGAGGUCCGAACCCACUAACGUUGAAAAGUUAGGGGAUGAGCUGUGGAUAGGGGUGAAAGGCUAAACAAACCUGGAAAUAGCUGGUUCUCUCCGAAAACUAUUUAGGUAGUGCCUCGUGUCUCACCUUCGGGGGUAGAGCACUGUCAUGGUUGGGGGGUCUAUUGCAGAUUACCCCGCCAUAGCAAACUCCGAAUACCGAAGAGUGCAAUCACGGGAGACAGACAUCGGGUGCUAACGUCCGGUGUCAAGAGGGAAACAACCCAGACCGCCAGCUAAGGUCCCCAAAUAUGGCUAAGUGGGAAACGAAGUGGGAAGGCUAAAACAGUCAGGAGGUUGGCUUAGAAGCAGCCACCCUUUAAAGAAAGCGUAAUAGCUCACUGAUCGAGUCGUCCUGCGCGGAAGAUGUAACGGGGCUAAGCCAUAUACCGAAGCUGCGGAUGCGAGCUUGCUCGCAUGGUAGGAGAGCGUUCCGUAAGCCUGCGAAGGUGCCUUGUAAAGGGUGCUGGAGGUAUCGGAAGUGCGAAUGCUGACAUGAGUAGCGAUAAAGGGGGUGAAAGGCCCCCUCGCCGUAAGCCCAAGGUUUCCUACGCAACGUUCAUCGGCGUAGGGUGAGUCGGCCCCUAAGGCGAGGCAGAAAUGCGUAGCUGAUGGGAAGCAGGUCAAUAUUCCUGCACCGUCGUUAGAUGCGAUGGGGGGACGGAUCGCGGAAGGUUGUCCGGGUGUUGGACGUCCCGGUCGCUGCAUUGGAGAAGGCGCUUAGGCAAAUCCGGGCGCAGGAUUCAAGGGUGUGGCGCGAGCGACUUCGGUCGCGAAGCAAUUGGAAGUGGUUCCAAGAAAAGCCUCUAAGCUUCAGUCUAACGAUGACCGUACCGCAAACCGACACAGGUGGGCGAGAUGAGUAUUCUAAGGCGCUUGAGAGAACUCGGGAGAAGGAACUCGGCAAAUUGGUACCGUAACUUCGGGAUAAGGUACGCCCUUGUAGCUUGACUGGCCUGCGCCAGGAGGGUGAAGGGGUUGCAAUAAACUGGUGGCUGCGACUGUUUAAUAAAAACACAGCACUCUGCAAACACGAAAGUGGACGUAUAGGGUGUGACGCCUGCCCGGUGCCGGAAGAUUAAAUGAUGGGGUGCAAGCUCUUGAUUGAAGUCCCGGUAAACGGCGGCCGUAACUAUAACGGUCCUAAGGUAGCGAAAUUCCUUGUCGGGUAAGUUCCGACCUGCACGAAUGGCGUAACGAUGGCCACACUGUCUCCUCCCGAGACUCAGCGAAGUUGAAGUGUUUGUGAUGAUGCAAUCUACCCGCGGCUAGACGGAAAGACCCCAUGAACCUUUACUGUAGCUUUGCAUUGGACUUUGAACCGAUCUGUGUAGGAUAGGUGGGAGGCUAUGAAACCGGAACGCUAGUUUCGGUGGAGCCGUCCUUGAAAUACCACCCUGGUUUGUUUGAGGUUCUAACCUUGGUCCGUGAUCCGGAUCGGGGACAGUGCAUGGUAGGCAGUUUGACUGGGGCGGUCUCCUCCCAAAGGGUAACGGAGGAGUACGAAGGUACGCUAGGUACGGUCGGAAAUCGUGCUGAUAGUGCAAUGGCAUAAGCGUGCUUAACUGCGAGACCGACAAGUCGAGCAGGUGCGAAAGCAGGUCAUAGUGAUCCGGUGGUUCUGUAUGGAAGGGCCAUCGCUCAACGGAUAAAAGGUACUCUGGGGAUAACAGGCUGAUACCGCCCAAGAGUUCAUAUCGACGGCGGUGUUUGGCACCUCGAUGUCGGCUCAUCUCAUCCUGGGGCUGUAGCCGGUCCCAAGGGUAUGGCUGUUCGCCAUUUAAAGAGGUACGUGAGCUGGGUUUAAAACGUCGUGAGACAGUUUGGUCCCUAUCUGCCGUGGGCGUUGGAUAUUUGAAGGGGGCUGCUCCUAGUACGAGAGGACCGGAGUGGACGAACCUCUGGUGUACCGGUUGUGACGCCAGUCGCAUCGCCGGGUAGCUAUGUUCGGAAGAGAUAACCGCUGAAAGCAUCUAAGCGGGAAACUCGCCUUAAGAUGAGAUAUCCCUGGAGGCUUGACCUCCUUGAAGGGUCGUUCGAGACCAGGACGUUGAUAGGUCGGGUGUGUAAGCGCAGUAAUGCGUUCAGCUAACCGAUACUAAUUGCCCGUAAGGCUUGAUCCUAUAAC
rnacentral:rRNA from 1 species